rnacentral:rRNA from 1 species
GACGAACGCUGGCGGCGUGCUUAACACAUGCAAGUCGAACGGUAAGGCCCUUCAGGGUACACGAGUGGCGAACGGGUGAGUAACACGUGGGUGAUCUGCCCUGCACUUCGGGAUAAGCCUGGGAAACUGGGUCUAAUACCGGAUAGGGCCACUGCCUGCAUGGGUGGUGGUGGAAAGCUUUUGCGGUGUGGGAUGGGCCCGCGGCCUAUCAGCUUGUUGGUGGGGUGAUGGCCUACCAAGGCGACGACGGGUAGCCGGCCUGAGAGGGUGACCGGCCACACUGGGACUGAGAUACGGCCCAGACUCCUACGGGGGGCAGCAGUGGGGAAUAUUGCACAAUGGGCGCAAGCCUGAUGCAGCGACGCCGCGUGAGGGAUGACGACCUUCGGGUUGUAAACCUCUUUCAGCACCGACGAAGCGCAAGUGACGGUAGGUGCAGAAGAAGGGCCGGCCAACUACGUGCCAGCCGCCGCCGUAAGAC